CAGCAGCCGCGGUAAUACGUAGGUGGCAAGCGUUGUCCGGAAUUAUUGGGCGUAAAGGGCUCGCAGGCGGUUUCUUAAGUCUGAUGUGAAAGCCCCCGGCUCAACCGGGGAGGGUCAUUGGAAACUGGGAAACUUGAGUGCUGAAGAGGAGAGUGGAAUUCCACGCGUAGCGGUGAAAUGCGUAGAGAUGCGGAGGAACACCAGUGGCGAAGGCGACUCUCUGGUCUGUAACUGACGCUGAGGAGCGAGAGCGUGGGGAGCGAACAGGAUUAGAUACCCCAGUAGUCCCUGUCUCUUAUAC
rnacentral:rRNA from 1 species